rnacentral:lncRNA from 1 species
AAAAAAAUUGUAUGUGUGCGUGGGUUCUGGGUUAUGUAUUAUAGCCUAUUACUUUUAUAUUUAUAUUUGUGUAUAUGUGCGUGGGUUCUGGGUUAUGUCUUUUAGCCUAUUACUUUUCUUUUCAUUUUGUGUGUUUGUGUGCAUGGGUUCUGGGCUAUGUCUUUUAGCCUAUUUGUGUAUAUGUGCGUGGGUUCUGGGUUAUGUCUUUUAGCCUAUUACUUUUCUUUUCAUUUUGUGUGUUUGUGUGCAUGGGUUCUGGGCUAUGUCUGUUAGCUCCUGUUGUAUAUUAGUGUGUGAGUUUUUUUGGGUCCUUGGAUGGAAGCUUAUGGUUUUUCUGGGAUUAAUCAUAAUCCCGAGGUUGGUUAGCUGAUUGGUAUAGUUUACUAGGAUUGGUUGUUGCUGCUUUGCUGUUGUUGCGGUUGGUAGUCAGGGCUGCUGAACAUACCCAGUCCUAUUGGCUGCUGUUGCUGCGACUUUUUGCUGUUGUGGGCCAAGAUCUCGAAGCCUGGGCAGAUCUGUUGAGAUAGUGGAGGUUCUCUUGGCUGUGGCUGUAGUGAAUGCUGAGGGCACACCGGAUGGUUCUGAAGUGGUUGAUGCUUUGCCCAGGGACUU